GUAGGGAAUAUUGGGCAAUGGAGGCAACUCUGACCCAGCCAUGCCGCGUGCAGGAAGACGGCCCUCUGGGUUGUAAACUGCUUUUAUCUGGGAAGAAAAAGGCCAUGCGUGGCAAAUUGCCGGUACCAGAUGAAUAAGCACCGGCUAACUCCGUGCCAGCAGCCGCGGUAAUACGGAGGGUGCGAGCGUUGUCCGGAUUUAUUGGGUUUAAAGGGUGCGUAGGCGGCUGAUUAAGUCAGCGGUGAAAGACUUCGGCUUAACCGGAGCAGUGCCGUUGAUACUGGUUGGCUUGAGUGUCGGAGGGGUACAUGGAAUUGAUGGUGUAGCGGUGAAAUGCAUAGAUACCAUCAGGAACACCGAUAGCGAAGGCAUUGUACUGGCCGACAACUGACGCUGAUGCACGAAAGUGUGGGGAUCGAACAGGAUUAGAAACCCGGGUAGUCC
rnacentral:rRNA from 1 species